AUUUAAAUAGUUUAAUUAAAAUAUAGAAUUGUGAUUUCUCAGAUACUAAAUUGUUUUAAGUU
rnacentral:tRNA from 1 species